GUCCACGCCGUAAACGAUGGAUACUAGCUGUUGGGGGCAACUUCAGUGGCUAAGCGAAAGUGAUAAGUAUCCCACCUGGGGAGUACGUUCGCAAGAAUGAAACUCAAAGGAAUUGACGGGGGCCCGCACAAGCGGUGGAGCAUGUGGUUUAAUUCGAUGAUACGCGAGGAACCUUACCAAGGCUUAAAUGCAGACUGACCGAUUUGGAAACAGAUCUUUCGCAAGACAGUUUACAAGGUGCUGCAUGGUUGUCGU
rnacentral:rRNA from 1 species